rnacentral:rRNA from 1 species
CGCCCAACAGCUAGCCCACCUAAACAAUCACAACAAGCCCCUGUUACUAACCCCAAAAUACCCCCGUAUUUACUUUAAACAAACCAUUUUUCCCCCUUAGUAUAGGCGAUAGAAAAGGGCCCCCGGCGCAAUAGAGAAAGUACCGCAAGGGAAUGCUGAAAGAGAAAUGAAACAACCCAGUAAAGCCUAAAAAAGCAGAGAUAAGAUCUCGUACCUUUUGCAUCAUGAUUUAGCAAGUGUACACCAAGCAAAGAGCCCUUUAGUUUGACGUCCCGAAACUACGUGAGCUACUCCAAGACAGCCUAUUAAUAGGGCUUACCCAUCUCUGUGGCAAAAGAGUGGGGAGAACUUUGAGUAGAGGUGACAAACCUACCGAACCUAGUUAUAGCUGGUUGCCCAGGAAAUGAAUAGAAGUUCAGCCUCUUAGCUUCUCUUUUCCCCUUGGCCUAACCUCUACGGAUGCAUCAAGAAACUAAAAGAGUUAGUCAAAGGGGGUACAGCCCCUUUGAACAAAGACACAACUUUCCCAGGAGGGUAAAGAUCAUA